rnacentral:rRNA from 1 species
GGUUAAGCGACUAAGCGUACACGGUGGAUGCCCUGGCAGUCAGAGGCGAUGAAGGACGUGCUAAUCUGCGAUAAGCGUCGGUAAGGUGAUAUGAACCGUUAUAACCGGCGAUUUCCGAAUGGGGAAACCCAGUGUGUUUCGACACACUA